rnacentral:rRNA from 1 species
CUUGGUAACGKCGAGUGAAGAGGGAAGAGCCCAGCACCGAAGCCUGCGGCAGUUUUGCUGUUAGGCAAUGUGGUGUGCGGGUCGGUUAGCGGGACCGUCACUCCACUCGAAGUCCAGCAUUGAGUAUGGUUAUCACUGGAUUUGGCCCAUAGAGGUUGAGAGGCCCGUACGAGUGGAGGUUCAGAUAUGUGCGACGGUUCACUAGGCCGGCCUCAGAGUCGGGUUGUUUGAGAUUGCAGCCCAAAGAGGGUGGUAAACUCCAUCCAAGGCUAAAUACUGGCACGAGUCCGAUAGCGAACAAGUACCGUGAGGGAAAGUUGAAAAGUACUCUGAAGAGAGAGUAAACAGUACGUGAAGCCGCAUGCAGGUAAACGGGUGGCGUCAAGCUGCGAGCCCGGAGGAUUCAGCUGAUUAGGAUGUAGUGUACGCGCGCCUGGUGCGUCGAGAGACCGGAAUAAGAUGAUAAUUUAGCGGUUCAUUCCUCUGCUGGGAGUGAGGCGCUAUCGGUGUGCAUGCUUGCGUGUGUGCCGGUAGUCGCUAUGCAUGCCGGGUGGGUGCCGGAGCAUGCCGCUCAUCUGUUGGGUCACCUAAUCAGUGCAUUUUCUCCGUGGUGAACACCACGACCGGUGGAAUUGCCAGUCUGCUGUCAUCAAGUCGUGUCCUUCUGACCCCUCUCUUUAUUCCUCUUCGGGGGAGUGGAGGGAUGUGUGUGUUGGGUGGAUACGAUCGCAGAUAGAGUCGGUGGACGGCGCAGUGGUGCAUUAGUACUGCGGCGUGUUAUCGUGCACUCUCUGUCCUUAACGAUUAGUGGAGUUGACUUAGGGCUGUGACCCCUUCUUCAUUAAUCAGCGGAUGGCAGUGGUAAAAGUGACUGUGCAAGGCACCGGAGUUAUCCACCUCAUUUAAAUAUGGUACCCGGCACGCACGUUACAGGUGCUAUAUAAAUGGGGGUGCGCCGCUGUCUGCCUGGUGUUGGGCCUGACUGUCGUGUUGCCUGCGCAAAGUGGGUCCGGCAGUGGUUUCAGAUACUUGGUAAUGGCAGUGUGUAGCGUGCUUCGGUGUGUGUGGUACCGGGGGUGAAAUAGUCAGUGGUGCUGUGGUAGACGAGCUACCCGACCCGUCUUGAAACACGGACCAAGGAGUUUAACAUGUGUGCGAGUCAAAGGGUCCUACGAAACCCCGAGGCGUAGUGAAAGUGAAGUUCAUGCUGUACUUCUGUAUAUGCGCAGUACAGUGUGGCGAGGUGAGAUCUCCUUGUACUCNNGACACACGCCGCAGACCUUACUGGGCAUUACUGGGGCAAGGAGCGCAUCACCGGCCCGUCGCAUGUUGUGGUCAUAGGUAUUACUUGUGCGUGGAAGGGUGUGUACGUGUUCAUCUGAAUGGGUGUAUACGUGCAUAUUUGGAAGCGUGCAAAGCCUGUCGUCAGCGC